UGUUCUCUUUCAGAGACUAGGAAGGCUUUGGAUGUGAAAGCAUGCACAAUUGGAAACCUUUGCGAAGAACUAGAGCUGCCUUGUGGAGAGACCCACGUGAUGAGAACUAAGGCCCUAGGUCCAUCAACCCAUGAGAACCGACUCCUGGGAAUGACCAUGGGAAAAGCUUGGAAGUGGAUCCUUUAGUCCCCUGCAAGUCUUGAGAUGAUUACAGUCCAGGCCAGCAUCUCAACAGCAACCUGCUUUUGGAUGUAACUGCCCUAAAUGAAGAAAGAGAAGAGAGACUUGAAAACCUCCAGAAUUCUUCAGAAAGACUUCCUUUGCAUAGAAUCGUUCAUCAAUUUCAACAGUAACAGAAAGUAAUGGAAACGUGAUCUGAAUGGGUAGCUGAGAAAUGAGUAGUGAUUUUAAACUCCAUUGAAGCUGUUCACCAGAUAUGGGCACAGCUUGUUUGUUUAUUAUAAAUGUUUAAACAUUGUAGAUAUUUUUGCCAAAAUUAACACAUUUCUUCCCAAAGGAACAUGUGAUAUCAUGGGAGUGGUAUGUGAAAAGCAGUUAAUUUUCAAUGGGUAGACAAUUUGUGGCAUGAAUUUUAUAAAUGAUUUCAAAGUAAGACUUAGUAUAUUCACAAGUUUGCAAAUCUCUGUUUAGAAUUGUAUGGGAACCUAUUCCAUUAGAAUGUUUAUUCUUACUAAAGGUGUUCUUUCACAAAAUAAAAAUAAGCUAGAAGU